UCUGUGGAGGGGGGGGACACGGACACGAAGACACCGUCGUCAGCCAGCAGUGCAGGACUGUGGGGACCUCGGUGACGUCACCACUUCACCCCACGGCUCACAGUGAAGAAGUCUGGGAUCCACAAGCCCAGGGGACUCAGGACCAGUUCUGCCGUUGUGGCUAGGACAGAGGCGUGAAGGAGGAGUCCCAGUUUCCCCAGCCUCCUGUGUCCACACCCGUGGUCAGCUACCAGGCUGUGUUCUGAGAGUCCUGCGUGAGAUUCCUACGUUUAGAGGCUUGGGAGGCCUCACCCUCACUGAGUAGCAGAGGAUGAUCUCGAACUCCUGGCUCUACCGUCCCCUCAACAGUGCCGGGAUUACAGCCCGUGCCACCAUGCUGGUUUAUGCUGUGCCGGAGAGAGAACCCAGCGCUUCAUGCAUGCCGGAAACAGUCAUUGCCAGAGACUACUCCACCGUCUCCUGCCCCUCAGCCGUGGGAUCUCCAUUCCCUGCCUACAAGUGGGGUCCCCUGAAAGCAAGCCCGCAUUUCCCAGCCUCCUUUGCUACCAGGCUAGGCCAUGAGACUAAGUUCUGAUCCACAGAUAAGGGCUAACAAGAUGCGUGUCACCCCGAAGUCCCACCCCAGGGUGGAGGGGUGCGUCUGCCUCCUCUUCCCACCAGAUGCGAUGUGGACAAGGCCACGCCAUGAGCCAACAACACCUGUGUGUAUCUCGACGGCGUUUCAGACGCUUGGGAACGGGCGCGGGGUCUACCGGGAAUGUCACGCAGAUCUUAGGGGACCUAGAACCCGCGCUGUAGAGCAACCCUCUUGUGCUACCUCCGACCUCUCCCAGCAGCCUCCUGGGUUUCCAGAAGCUCCAGAGCCUCUGACUCCAAGAGGGCACCGUGCCAACAGGGAGGCUGAGACUCGCCCACCGUCCCACAGUCAGCUGACAUCUGGGGCCAGAGUGGAGGGGAGGGGAGACUGGAUCUUGGGGUCAGACCAAAGCCUUUUCCCUUCUUGCUAAACUCCACCUAGGAAGCCACACGAAAGCGAGCCCCGGAGCGCGUCCGCCCCCGACUGCAGGGACUUCUGCAGCUCCUGUUCUCGGGGUGGCAAAGCUGCGACCCUGAUCAGCAUUCAGUGGGGGAUUCUCGGCAGAGCUGCCGUUACCUACCCCGAGAGCAGGCCAGGGGCAGCAAGACCGGAGUGCCUGGUCCUGCUGCUCUGGGGGCGGGGCUCCCCCUGCCUGCGAGGCAAGCGGCCCGCCUACCACCUGAGCCACACCUCCAGCCUUCUACAGCAACGAAGCAAAGCCAGGACCCAGGGCGCGCCCUCGGCCAUGGCAACAGCUAAACAGCGAGGACUUGAGAGUUUGUAACGCCAUCCUGUAUAACGCGCUCCGCCUUCCAUGGUUUUAAAAUCCCUUUUCUAAAUGGGCAGGAGUGUUCGCAGAUGCACUAUUCACCAUAGGUCAAAGUAAAAACAGCCCACAUGUCCAUCGCCAAGUGAAUGGGUAAACAGCUGCGCUAGCUAAGUCUACCCAGUAGAAUAUUACUCAACCAUUAAAAAAAAAUACAUGGUCAUGCCACGUCGGGCUGAGGGAAAGAAGCCGCAUGCAAAUUAGUACACACAUCACACGUCUCCCUUCAUGUCAAAUGUGGAGAAUCAUGUCAAGUUAAAUGCGCUCAUCUGCAGAGAUGAAAAGUGGCUACAGUGACCUCUGGGGACUUGGGGGGGAAGCAGAGGGAUGGAGGAGAAGCUUCCUUUUGGGGGUAACCAAAUGUUCUGAAAUUUGACUGCGGGGCUUGUUGAAUAACCGAUUAACCAGACAAACGUUAAGUGCACUGUAAGUAAACUACAUGUCAAUAAA